GGGGGUAUAGCUCAGUUGGUAGAGCGCUUGCAUGGCAUGCAAGAGGUCAGCGGUUCGAUCCCGCUUAUCUCCACCA
rnacentral:tRNA from 1 species